UGGGGAAUAUUGCACAAUGGGGGAAACCCUGAUGCAGCGACGCCGCGUGAGCGAUGAAGGCUUUCGAGUCGUAAAGCUCUGUCCUAUGGGAAGAUAAUGACGGUACCAUAGAAGAAAGCCCCGGCUAAUUACGUGCCAGCAGCCGCGGUAAUACGUAAGGGGCGAGCGUUGUCCGGAAUUAUUGGGCGUAAAGAGUGCGUAGGCGGCAAAUUAAGUCAGAUGUGAAAACUAAGGGCUCAACCCAUAGAUUGCAUCUGAAACUGAUAUGCUUGAGUCAAGGAGAGGAAAGUGGAAUUCCUAGUGUAGCGGUGGAAUGCGUAGAUAUUAGGAGGAAUACCGGUGGCGAAGGCGACUUUCUGGACUUGAACUGACGCUGAGGCACGAAAGCGCGGGGAGCAAACAGG
rnacentral:rRNA from 1 species